UACGGGGGGUGCGAGCGUUGUCCGGAUUCACUGGGCGUAAAGGGCGCGUAGGCGGCCGCGUCAGUCGGACCUUUAAGUGCGGGGCUCACCCCCGUGAUGGGUCCGGGACGGCGUGGCUGGGGCGCGGUCGAGGGGGACGGAAUGCCGGAGUGUGAUGGAUGAUCGUAGAGAUCCGGCGGAACACCGGUGGCGCAGGCGGUCCCCUGGGCUGAGAUUGACGCUCAGGCACGAAAGCGUGGGGAGCAAACAGG
rnacentral:rRNA from 1 species